UCACGACUAUUGAUUUUUUCUUCUUCUUCUUCUUCUUCUUCUUCUUCUUCUUCUUCUUCUUCUUCUUCUUCUUUGCCUUCGUCUCUCCUUAAAUGUCCUUGUCCCAUGUUCUCCCAUCUUCCUACUCCCUCCCUCCAUCCAUCCUCUUUGCCUUUUCUCUUUUUCUUCCGUACUUCGUCAUGAGUGAGAAGUCACUCAUUCGUUAAAUAAUGAUUCGAUAUAGAAUUACUACAUUAGCCUGUCAUGUCAGGUUAGGUUUGGUUUAGUUACGUCGUCAGGUUAAGUUAGGUUCAGUUAGUGUCAGGUUAGAUUAAGUCAGGUGAGAUACGUCAAGUUACAUAAUUUGGGUUAGGCCGAGUUUAGCCAGGUUAAGUUAGGUUGCACUAGGUAAAGUUUAGUGAGGUCAGGUUACGUAAGGUGAAGUAGAAAGUCAAACCAGUUCUAGAUGCGUAUUUUUUACGCAAAAAUUUAUUUUACCUUAUAGUUAACUAAAUACAGGUCCUAUUCAGGGUCAGAUUAGGUCAUUUAAGUAAAGAGACAACCAUUUACACUCUCAACGUGUGUCUGUGUCCCAGGUAAGGUCAGAUAAGGUCUCGUCUUCAAAGGCCCUUUGCUCUCACACCACGACUAUUUUCAAAGGACACAGAUGAUUAGUAGGAUUCUCACGAGCGUUCCUCUUAAUGUAGAAAUUGUCACUAGAACAAUAAAAUAAACUCUUAAAAACCCGUGCAAUUUCAACCAGAGCAUUUUGAAAGUAGUGGCGGUGCAGGGAACAAGCGUAUUCAGAAACCCUUUGCUUUUUCACCACGAAUAUUUUCAAAGACCACAGACAUGAGUAGCCGAGUUCUCACGCAAGUUUCCCCAUACCACAAUGUAGAAGUCUUGUUAAUCCGUCAUUAGAACCGUAGAAACACCCUUCACAACACGUGUAACUUCAACUAGAGUCUUUGGAAAGUAGCGGAGGUGCGGCGAAGAAGUGGUUCAGAGUACGGUCUUUGGUCGUGUUGGUCUUGUUGUCAGGCAGUAGCAGCAGCAGCAGUAGCAGUAGUAAUAUUUAGGGCUUGCCUCGCCGCCGCGCGUAAAGAUGAAGUGUCCACGCCAGCUAUUGUCACUUUAUACUGCAAAUAAAUAAAACUUUUAAAGCAGAUAACACGCUUCAAUGGACGGUAGUGUGUGUGUGUGUGUGUGUGUGUGUGUGUGUGUGUGUGUGUGUGUGUGUGUGUGUGUGUGUGUGUGUGUGUGUGUGUGUGAGAGAGAGAGAGAGAGAGAGAGAGAGAGAGAGAGAGAGAGAGAGAGAGAGAGAGAGAGAAA